ACUAAGAAAGUCAACAGCAUCUGACUUCCUCCAAAAGAUAAGAGCAAAACGUACAUCAGAGUGUUUCCCUGGAGGAUGCAGCACAGAGGACAGCGAGGCUAGGGAGCUGAUGGAGGUGGAUGAGGAGAGUUCCAGCCUGCUGUAUAAUGUAGGUCCUCCCCAGACUGGAAUAAUCUAUGGUCCUGGAAGAGAAGCUGUGGUGGAUGAAGGAUCUGGGAUGUAGCCAAGCAGACCACAUGACAUGAUGUUGUUGUUGGUGGUUUAAGGGAAGCUUGAGUUUCCGGCAUCCUAAAGCAACCUUGUUUGACUGCAUGGAAAACAAGAAAAAUGACAACAACUACAGUGAUAUCUAUGAAACUAAAACUGAACUAGGAAUUUCAACAAAGGUUUUUCUAAAUUAAGAUGGUAAUUGUUGAUAGGGUGAAUGAUUUUUUUUAAUGUUAAAAUA